CCCCUCUCAAGGUUGCACCUGGAGAGUUUCCAGUACUCUACCAGUCUCCACUACUGGAGGGAGAGUCAAGUAGAGGUAUAUGCGUAUCCAUUCCAUUCCUAGCUUGGGCAGUGCCUAGCGAGUGGAAGGCAAUCUGCUACAAGU